rnacentral:rRNA from 1 species
UACGGGGGGGGCAAGCGUUGUUCGGAAUUACUGGGCGUAAAGGGCUCGUAGGUGGCCAACUAAGUCAUACGUGAAAUCCCUCGGCUUAACCGGGGAACUGCGUCUGAUACUGGAUGGCUUGAGGUUGGGAGAGGGAUGCGGAAUUCCAGGUGUAGCGGUGAAAUGCGUAGAUAUCUGGAGGAACACCGGUGGCGAAGGCGGCAUCCUGGACCGACAUUGACGCUGAGGAGCGAAAGCUAGGGGGAGCAAACGGG